rnacentral:snRNA from 1 species
CCCUGGAACGACACAGGGAAGAUUAGCAUGGCCCUAACGCGCAAGGAUGACAUGCACCAAUCGAGAAGUGUACCAAGUAAAC